AGAAAACAUUCUGCUAGCCUUGCACCUUGUAUGGUAUUUAAAGAAGAAAUAGAUGAACCUUUGAAAGAUCAGGGGAUUAAGGAACCAGUGCAGAAGAGGAGAUGAGGCCUGGACCAGAGCAGCCAUGAUCAUGAUGAAUGGCAGGGCAGGACUGAGAGGUACACAACCUAAUUAACCUACCUUGGGAUGUGGAAGGAAACCAAAGCACCUGGAGGAAAUCUAUGAGGUCGCAAGGAGAAUGUGCAAACUCCAUGCGGGCAGCACCCAAGAUCAGGAUCAAACCUGGGACACAAGAGCUGUGUGACAGCACCACUACCUGCUGCGUCACAAUGUUGCAGAUACUCUGCCAGUUAAUAACCAACUAUUGAUCAAAGAGUUUGGUUUUAAAGAUCAUAAAACAGGAGAGCAAAGUGGACAGCAGGGAGGGAGUUCCAGAGCUUAGAACCAAGACUGCAUUAACCCAUGUUAAUACUUGUGGCUGCACAACCUUUCUUACAAAUUAUAAACAGUCAUUAUAAUGCACAAAAACUGCAGAUGCUGGAAACCUGAAAUGAAAACAGAAAUUUUUUGAAAUAUUAAAUAGGCCAGGUAUAGCAUGUGUGGAGACAGAAACAAACACAGAGCUGUGAACUUUUCAUAAUGAAAGGUCAUUGGUCUGAAACAUUAACUCUGUUUCUCUUUUCAAAGAUGUUGCCUGACCAUCUGAAUAUUUCCAGUGAUUUCCCUUUAUAUCACUGGAUUUGUAAUGGUGACAGAAGAAUGUUUUUGUAAUUUAUAUCAAAAUAUAAACACUAAAUUCAACUGAGAUUAAAUUUAUAGUAUGAACACAGCUUCUGGCUAUUGAGAUCACAUUCAGAUGGUGUAUUUAUUCAGAGUAUCUGCUUCAAGGAGAUUUAUUAAAACAUCUUAGUAGUCAUUCAUAUCCCUUGCAGUGGAACAUCUCACCCAAUUGUAUUCAGCAAGAUAUUGCUUCUAAAGAGAUUUGACCUUGAAAGAUCCUAGUACUUUUGAUUGACGGUCCUUGGUUUCUCGUCCAGCUAGAAACAUUGGAAAUACUUUAGUUUUGAUGGAGAACUAGAUCUGGAGAACAGGCAAGUACCCUCUUCAUGCCAAGCAUUUACAAAGAGCCUUCUGAUUAGUCGAGGGCAUUCCUUCAAGUGUACAUUAGGGUUUUUUUCCUAUAUUAGAAAAAGAGAUAAGGAAAUGUAAUGAUUUAAAGUGAGAUUUAAUAUAAAUGUAAUAUUUUCUUAAUGCUUGUAAAAUAAACUAACUUACCAUUUGGCCGUUCUCACUGAAAUGCUAAUCAGUCUUUC